AAUCCGUUGAAGGAUCGCCAUCUUUGAUCCUCGUGUGGUGAAAGUGUCUGCCUAAAAAGAUGCUAAAUAAUUUUGUAAAGGUUUUUGUGAAGUUCAUCUAGAUUUAAGUGUUAAUCCAGUGUAAAAAUGGAUAAGGACCUUAACGAUAGUGAUUGCCAGAAUUCGUCUAUAAGCCGUGAUUACGAGAACGAGCAGUCUUUAGUGGGAAAAUUUAAGAAGAAUGUAUCAGAAAUCAUAAACAACACCCCUCUUUCCAAAUGGUUUAAGAAGCAAAGCGAAACGCCGGUAUCUACACCUCGCAAACGUCAAGAUGAUUCGGACGAUGAAGCAGAUAUACAUGAGUUCCAGCCCCCUUCAAAACGUACCAAAUUACCACCUACUAAAGAAACUAUAAGUUUAAAUGUUAGUGAAGUGUUGAGUCCCAUUUCUAAAGUCAAUGAUGUAAAGAAUCCCUUAUAUACCAAUUUUCCUGAACCCAUAGCAGGACCUAGUGGAUACCAAACCCGUAAAUUGUUGAAUAGCACAUCAUUUACUAAAGAGGCCGCAUUUAAAAAUGCAAAAUCAGCUAGUGAAUCAACAAACUUGUUUAAAAAUCCUAAAAGUAUAGUUCGUGAUAGGAUAGGUGCUAGUAGUGCUAAUAAGGAUAUUAAUUCAGAUAGUGAAGAAUCUACUAGUGGUUAUUCCUCUGGGAGACUAGGCAGUAAAGAAGUUGUUAGUCAUGAGAGCUCAAAACAAACCUCACCUUUAGAAAGUAGUCCAAUUAAAGCAAGAUCUUUGUUUAGGAAUUCAAGUUCAGGAAGAAGUCUUUUUUCAGAACGCACAUUGAGCCCUCACAGGAACUCUAGUCUAAGCUCUAGAAUGCCUUCUUUCAAUCCUUCUAAUUUUGGAUCACAAAAUUUCGUCGAUCGUACAUUAUCAACCAAGAAAAUCUUGGAGUCUCCUUUCUAUAGUGGACGCACCAUCUACGGUGGGGCUUCAGCCUAUGGAAAAAGCAGUGGAAGAACUCCACAGGAUCUUAAGAAAGCCCUAAGACAGAGCGUAAAAAUUAAACCGGUCAAUAGAGAUGUGGAAAAAAGUGGCGAUGUUCAACUUGGAAAGACUGCCAGAAGGAUUUUAGACACUUUAGAGCAAUACAGUUCUCCGGUAAGCGACGCUAAAAAAAUUCCUGUUGUUUCAAAGAAAAUCAGAAGCGAAGGAGUAUUAACCAAAUAUAUUGGAGCCAAUCCGUAUACGGUUAGAGGGUCUCGCAGCGCUUCGAAUAGGGAGCUCCAGGUACCCUCUGUUACCGACUUGCUGAAAAUGAAAUUGGAUCAGCAAAAAACUAGGUUACAAGACAGCACGGAAGCUGUGAGGCAAAUCGCCACACAGUCCAAAAGUGCACUGAACGAAACAAGUUACCAGUUAGCCGUGCACAAAGAUACAGAAAAACAUACAGGGAAAAUAAAAAGGAAAAUCACUUCUGUCAGGCAAAAGAUCCAAAUUGAUGAAACUGUACCCGAGCUCAAGCUGAAUCCUGUAGCUUUACCUAUUAAGGAACUACCUAAAUUUGAUUUUGUUGUACCUCCACCUUCAACAAGCAAAGUAGUUGAUGACACACAGCCAAAAUUAACUGGUCUUUUUGGUAAAACUGUCACAACACCUCUUAAAGUUAAUGACAUGACAGAGAAAGAUAAAAUAACUGUGGAUGAUCAAAAGUCAGGUUCUGUGAAAGAAGAUAAAUUUGAAUUUAAGUUUUCGGCUCCCAUAGUUCUUGCCGAAUGUUCAAAAUCAAUCAAAGCUCUAAAUAACUUUAAAUUUAGCGAACCGCUUGUUAAGAAACGUAGAAGUAUUCAUUCUGACUCGAACAAUCAAGAAAAUGGUUCUGCUGAGUUGUUCAAAGUGAAGAAAAAUAAUGGAGAGAAUGUUUUGGGUGUGACUAGUGUCACUGAUACUGGUAAAAAAGAGAAAUGUGGUACCAAUAAUGGAAGUUGGUCGUUAGGGGACAAAUUUAAACCGAAAGUAGGAACAUGGGAGUGUUCGAUGUGCAUGAUUAGGAAUGAAGAUGAUAAGUUGAAAUGUGCGGCUUGUGAAACAUCUCGUUCCGCCACUGAAAAGCCCAAAAAUAUUAUAACAGAUUCGCCAUCUUUCUUCCCGUUGUCCACUGCACAGCCGACGAUCAACUUUUCUUUUGGCAGCAAAUCAUCUGUCGCACCUCCGCCGAGUAAUAGUUUCGGCGACAAAUUCAAACCCGCAUCGAACACUUGGGAAUGCCCCAGCUGUAUGAUACGUAACCAAGACAACGUGACUAUCUGCGUCGCUUGCAAAGAUACCAAACCGGGAAACAACGUGGCUCAACCAAAAUCGAUCACCAGCUCUGUCGCGGAUAACGGUGCUACGGGACCGUCGUUUGGAUCCAAGUUUGCCCCGCCUCCCAGUACGUGGGAAUGCUCCACGUGCAUGAUAAGAAACAAAGAGGAGCUUUCUGUAUGUGCAGCUUGUAAUAGCUUAAAAUCGGGUACAAAGAGUGUACUAGCGGUACAACAGUUAGGCGAGACUACGUUUGGUGCUGAAUUUAAGAAAAAAGAUAAUGAAUGGGAAUGUGAGAUCUGUAUGGUUAAGAAUCCGUUGAGCGCCACCAAGUGCCAGUGUUGCGAAAACCCGAGAUCGAGUACCUCCAGUCUGGCCGCGUCCACAACUACCAGCGGCGGCGCAUCGAAAAUACCUUCCUUCAGCUUUGGAAUCGACAAAAAUACGGCCAGCAGUUUUACCUUCGGCAUACCUCCUGGAUUACAGGAGGCGCCUAAAACGAACGCAUCCCUGGUAUUCGGCGAAAGUAAAGUCGACGGAAAGCAAACUACCGAACAAACAACGCCGACUUUCACGUUCGGUGUGCCACCAAAAGAUGCCACUAAACCCACGCAGUCUGCGACGGUCUUGCCUACUUCUUCCGUUACCAUCGCUACGGCCGGUGAUUCCCAGAAAAAUGACGCCUCGAAACCACCACCAGCGUACGCUAGCGGCAGUACUGCUGCUGUUUUAGGCACAACUGCGCCGAAAAAAGCGGAGGAUGGAAUUAGGAAAAAAGAAGAGCUAGAGGUUAAACCGACGAAUCCCCUACUAAAACCCGGCGAGAGAUUGCCGGAAAAGGCGGCAACAGCGCCCGCUGGCUUCAGUUUUGGAUUGCCCAAAGCGCCUGCGCUUUCGACAAGCGUUCCGUCGAUACCCAAACCCAGCUCCGACGUCACGACCUUCGACGACUCGCCCAGCAAGAAGACGAAACGGGCCAACGAAGAUCAAGCCGUCGUUCCGACGUUUUCGUUCGGCAGCGCGGCGGCAACAUCCUCGUCCAACGGCGAUCUAAUGAAAGCAGCGCCAUCUUUCAGCAAGCCCGCCGAGCAGAAACCUCCCACGACGAGCACGCCGUCGGGCGGUUUCGCCUUCAGCUUCGGCUCGGCGAAACCGGCCGCCGGCAGUGCCGAAGCCAGCCGACCGGCGCCGACUUUCGGAUCGUCGGCAACGAACGGGUCUAAAAAGGAAGACUUAUUCAAAUUUGCUACUUCAAGCUCGGAACCUCCGAAAUCAACGAACGGAUUGAACUUCAGCGCCCCCACUCAGCCAUUUGGCGCUAAAACCUCCACGGAAACCAAACCUUUCUCUUUCGGAACCCCGUCAACCCUACCGGCGGCAACGGCACCACAAGCAUCCCAACAAUCCAGCGCGCCACCCUCUUUCGGAUCGACGGCGCCGCUUCCCAAAACCACGCCCUCCUUCAAAUUCGGCUCCGCCUCCGACGACAAGACUCAGAAAUCAUUCGCCUUUGCCACGCCCAGCUUCGGCAGCGGCGCCGCCCAGUCGGCAUCCUUCGGCGGUUUCGGCGCGAAGCCGACCGCAGCAGCUGACUCCUCUUCCGCUAGCGCUUCGACGUUGUUCGGUUCUGCCAAUCAGAACCAAGUUAGCGCGUUCGGGUCGGCUGCUGCGACCGCCCCCCAAAGCUCCGCUCCCAACGGACUGUUUAAUUUUGGUGCGAGCGGACAGGGAGCCAGCCAGAAGGCGGUGUUUAGUUUCGGCGCCGCUGACCAGAACGGGCCCAAGGAGGGACAGACGGGGUUCUCGUUUGGAUCCAAUACGUCGACUGCGCCGGCCGCGCCGGCAAGUUUUAACUUCUCCGGUCCUGCGCCAUCUUUCGACGCUACCGCGAAGCCAGUAUUCAACUUUACUGGGAGCAGUAACGUACCAACGUUCUCUGCCCCACCCGUGCAAGAGGGUAUGCCCAAAAGGAUAAUAAAGAAAGCCAUCAGGAGGGUACGAUAGACGACGGAUGGUUGUUUCAGAGUCACGAGAAGAAAAUAUAAAACAGAGACAAUGUACAUAGUUCGGAAUAAUACGACAAAAAUAUAACACUUUUCAAGAUAUCUAUAUGCUGUUUAGUUGGUU
rnacentral:misc_RNA from 1 species